CGGUUGAUCCUGCCGGAGGUUACUGCUAUCGGGGUUCGAUUAAGCCAUGCAAGUCAAAUGUUCUUCGUGAACAUGGCGAACUGCUCAGUAACACGUGGACAACUUACCCUUAGGACUGGAAUAACCCCGGGAAACUGGGGAUAAUACCGGAUAAAUCAUAGAUGCUGGAAUGCUCUAUGGUUCAAAGCUCCGGCGCCUAAGGAUGGGUCUGCGGUCUAUCAGGUAGUAGUGGGUGUAACGUACCUACUAGCCGACGACGGAUACGGGUUGUGAGAGCAAGAGCCCGGAGAUGGAUUCUGAGACACGAAUCCAGGCCCUACGGGGUGCAGCAGGCGCGAACACUUUACAAUGCGGGAAACCGCGAUAAGGGAACCCCGAGUGCCAGCAUCAAAUGUUGGCUGUCCAGAUGAUUAAAACUCAUUUGUUAGCAAGGGCCGGGCAAGACCGGUGCCAGCCGCCGCGGUAACACCGGCGGCCCGAGUGGUAGCCGCUAUUAUUGGGUCUAAAGGGUCCGUAGCCGGUUCGAUAAGUCCUCUGGGAAAUCUGGUUGCUUAACAAUCAGACUGCCAAGGGAUACUGUCGAACUUGAGACCGGGAGAGGUAAGAGGUACUUCAGGCGUAGGAGUGAAAUCUUGUAAUCCCUGGGGGACCAUCUGUGGCGAAGGCGUCUUACCAGAACGGGUCUGACGGUGAGGGACGAAAGCUGGGGGCGCAAACCGGAUUAGAUACCCGGGUAGUCCCAGCCGUAAACGAUGCUCGCUAUGUGUC
rnacentral:rRNA from 1 species